rnacentral:rRNA from 1 species
AUUGAACGCUGGCGGCAGGCCUAACACAUGCGAGUCGAACGGUAACAGGAAGAAGCUUGCUUCUUUGCUGAUGAGUGGCGGACGGGUGAGUAAUGUCUGGGAAACUGCCUGAUGGAGGGGGAUAACUACUGGAAACGGUAGCUAAUACCGCAUAACGUCGCAAGACCAAAAAGGGGGACCUUCGGGCCUCUUACCAUCGGAUGUGCCCAGAUGGGAUUAGCUAGUAGGUGGGGUAACGGCUCACCUAGGCGACGAUCCCUAGCUGGUCUGAGAGGAUGACCCGCCACACUGGAACUGAGACACGGUCCAGACUCCUACGGGAGGCAGCAGUGGGGAAUAUUGCACAAUGGGCGCAAGCCUGAUGCAGCCAUGCCGCGUGUAUGAAGAAGGCCUUCGGGUUGUAAAGUACUUUCAGCGGGGAGGAAGGGAGUAAAGUUAAUACCUUUGCUCAUUGACGUUACCCGCAGAAGAAGCACCGGCUAACUCCGUG